rnacentral:rRNA from 1 species
ACGAACGCUGGCGGCAUGCCUAACACAUGCAAGUCGAACGAGACCUUCGGGUCUAGUGGCGCACGGGUGCGUAACGCGUGGGAACCUGCCCUUAGGUUCGGAAUAACUCCCCGAAAGGGGUGCUAAUACCGGAUAAUGUCUUCGGACCAAAGAUUUAUCGCCUUUGGAUGGGCCCGCGUUGGAUUAGCUAGUUGGUAGGGUAAAAGCCUACCAAGGCGACGAUCCAUAGCUGGUCUGAGAGGAUGAUCAGCCACACUGGGACUGAGACACGGCCCAGACUCCUCCGGGGGGCAGCGGUGGGGAAUUUUGGACAAUGGGCGAAAGCCUGAUCCAGCAAUGCCGGGGGAGGUAUGAAGGCCUUGGGGUUGUAAAGCUCUUUUCCCCGGGAUGAUAAUGACAGUACCGGGAGAAAAAGCCCCGGCUAACCCCGU